GCAGAACGCGAAGAACCUUACCCACCUUUGACAUGUACGGAAUUUGCCAGAGAUGGCUUAGUGCUCGAAAGAGAACCGUAACACAGGUGCUGCAUGGCUGUCGUCAGCUCGUGUCGUGAGAUGUUGGGUUAAGUCCCGCAACGAGCGCAACCCUUGUCAUUAGUUGCUACAUUUAGUUGGGCACUCUAAUGAGACUGCCGGUGACAAACCGGAGGAAGGUGGGGAUGACGUCAAGUCCUCAUGGCCCUUAUAGGUGGGGCUACACACGUCAUACAAUGGCUGGUACAAAGGGUUGCCAACCCGCGAGGGGGAGCUAAUCCCAUAAAACCAAUCGUAGUCCGGAUCGCAGUCUGCAACUCGACUGCGUGAAGUCGGAAUCGCUAGUAAUCGUGGAUCAGAAUGUCACGGUGAAUACGUUCCCGGGUCUUGUACACACCG
rnacentral:rRNA from 1 species